CCUAGCUCUGAAGAUGGAAUUAUUUAUUUCGUCACACUCCACACUCUAGUAUCUGAGUAUUUUACAAGUACUGGUGAAUUUAUUUUCAUAACACCCCUAGGAAAUGUGGAUAUUAGCUUCAUUUCACAGUUGAGGGUUCUCUGAAGCAUACUUAGGUCAAAGGUUUCUUUUAUUUUUGAAUACUCCAUUUGUGAACACACAGAACCUGGUAUGUAAUUAAUAGGUUCAAAAUGAGUUCUGUUGACUUCAGUUGCAGGUGUGAAUGCUCAGUACUUCUGUAAAUCAAAAUGCAGUCAGGCUCCCAGAAAAUGAGGAAUGAACCAUUAGUGGCCAACCUAUUAUGGCAUGGAGACCUCUUAGCAGAAGUAAGCAUAGACUCUAUCCAGGGUAGGAUUCAUAUAUUUCAUCAUAAGACCAUCUUUGUGCAGUCUCAUUCAGUAAAUAACUUCCAACUUUUGUAGUAAAUGAAGCAAGGUUCCUUCAUUCACUACAUAGCCCUCGCUGAUUCCCAGAAUAUUACCCAAUCUGUGCAUGGAAGUAUCAGAAAACACUUUCAAAGGGAAAUAGCUAUUAUUCACACAAGUACUUAUGUUGCCUUUUCUAUAAAUGCUUAUAGGUAGGAGUGAGAAUUUUUUUUUCAGCAUCUAGCCCAUAAAUAGCUUUACUACUUUUAAAAAAAAGGGUAUGUAAGUAGCCUUGAUUCUAUCACUUCUAAACAGUUUGUGCUUUAACUUUGCAACCUUAACUUUUUUUUUAGAAGAUUAUUUUGUGUAGUUUCCUAAGGUGUGUGUUUGUUUUGUUUUGUUUUGUUUUUAAGCACUGAAAACACAUUCUGUCAUGUGGCAUCAUUGUUACUCUGAGUUGUCAGCAGGGUUAUCAGGAGUAACUGAUAACAAUAAAUUAUUACUAUUAAAUCAUUUGUGUUACUAUAGCACUUAAAAGUUCUGAUCAUGAACCAGGAACCCACUGUGCUAAGUAUACAAACAGAGAAUAAAAAGUCUCUACAUGAGAGAGCUUAUAAUUUAAGUAUGAUAUAAGAGACCCUCAAUGGAGGUAGGCGACUGAGAAAAGCACAUGGAAACAUUGAGAGCAUUGAUCAGCAUGACACGCAAUGGUGUUAGCACACCAGUCUUUUGUCAGGUAAAAUGAGGACAAUGAAGCAGCUCUGUAGAUUCUGAAGGGGAGCAUGACACGUGCAGAAGUGCAUAUUUGAAAAUUUACUAAGUGGUAGACGGAGGCAGGAGUUGAUUACUGUAUAAUACAGGUGGAUAGGUAGAAUGGAAACUGGCUAUGAAGGGCCUUGAAGUUAAGUCAAGCAGCUUAUGACUGAUGCAAUAGAAAAUGAAGAGCUAAUGGAAGAAUUCCAAAGAGUGAACUGGUCAUAGAUGUUAGGUGAAUGUUCUCUCUAGCAAUACAUAGUGAAUAUGUAUGAUGAAGAUUGCAUUUGUCUGGGUUACAGGAAAAGAAGUUGUGGUAAUUGGGUUGCAAGAUGAAAGAUGAAGUUGUGUGUGAAUUGAUAAGUACCAUUGUAUGUUAAACAUAUUAAGAUGAAAGACUGCAGCUUCAGACAGUUUAGAUGUGGAGACAUUGGAGGUCAGAGUUAAAGGUGAUGCUCAGUUGACGGUGUUGAGUGGUAGGGAGGUGGGUGUGUGAGGGGGAUGACAGAUUAAGUGCUUGGUCACAGCUGUGUUUUGUUGGAGGUGACGAGUAGACAUCUAUGAGAAGUCAGAGAGAGGUGGACUAAGAUUUUAUUUUAAACAGGAGGAAGUAGAGCUAUGGUUUGUCAGGAUAGAGAUAAUAAUUGAACAUGUAUUUGCAGAUGAAAUUACUUGGAUAUAAGGUGGGGGGGGAGUGGAGAAAUGAAAGGAAGAAAAGCACUCGAAUCCUCAGAGAAACUUGGAGGGGAGAUAUGGAAGAUGUUCUGAUGGAACAAAUAGAGAAGUCAAGCAACCACUAGUAGAUGGCAGUGUCAUGGAAGCCUAGGAAGGACAAGAUUUUAAGCAGCAGCAUAGUUAACUGUAUUGAAUGGUGGCUGACAGAAUGUGAGGACUAAGUACUGUUUUUUGUUUCUGUUAGGAAAAGGUAAUUAAACUACACUUUUAGUAGAAGGCCAGGUAUGGAAGCUGGAUUGAGGCUCUAGAAUCAAAAUGGAAGAAAGGCAUUUCAGACAACUGUUGUGGAUGGAAUAUAUAGUUAUCUUGGAAAUACAAGAAUGAUGGAAGAUGUUUACAAGUCAAAAGCCAAAUAUGGUCAAGUGUGAUUUUCAGGUGGGUAGGGUGAAGCAGGUUUGCACUAAGGAAAGAGCCAAGAGAAAGUAAGAAAUUUACUAGUUGGAAAAAGAGAGAGAGAGAUCUGUGGUCACUGGGAAAACUAAAACGGUUGAAGAGGAGAACAGACAAGCUUUUUGGUGCCUGUGACUAGAGGUGGGAAGGAGAGAUAUGAGAGGGGAGGUAGAAAUGUAUAUUCCUCCCCCACCACCACCACCAUGCCCCAAUCCAAAUUUCUCUCGGCAGAAAGUAGUGAGAUUCUGAAAGAAUGAGGUGGCAUCAAGAGGAGAAAAGGGUUGUGGGUGAGUUUAAGGUGGUGAAAAUGUAGUUGGGAUUGAGCAAUGAUCAUUCAGUUAAAUUGGAGAAGUAGUUUAGUUAGGAAGGAUAGCAGAACUGAAGGAGGAAUUCAUAGUGGAAAAAGUUUACCAGUUCCAUUAGUAUAGAUCAGACCAACACUGGAGGAAGAUAGGCAUUUUUUGCCUUUUCACAGGUAUUUGCUGACAACAGAGGAAUGAUGAGCUCCAGGAAUCUUGGGUUCCAUUCCCAGGUCUGAAGAUGAUUUGUGAAAUGCUGAGAGCUUGGAAAUAUACAUAGAAGUAAAGUAAUAUUGCUUUUCAAGUUUGGCUGUAAAUGAAGUAGAGUUCAAGUAUUCAGGAAAUAAAGAAUAUAAAACAUUCUCUAAGAGCUGAUUUGCAUAGUUCGGAAGAAAUCCAUGGACCUUAAUAUUCUGUCAGGAUAUUCUGAAGUCAGAAAACAAACACAGAAUGUUUAAUUUUAUUCAAAGGAGAAUUUUCUUUCACUUUUUUUUUUUUCAUUUUUCCAAAUUAAAAUUACCUCUAUCCACAUUAUACAAUUUGCAUUGCAAAUUAAAUUGGCCAAUUCUCUAUAAAUUCUCUAAUUCACUUUGAAGGUGGAUUAAGUUAAUUGCAAAUUGAGUUAGUAUGGACUGAUCUUUAUACUAAUAGUGGCAGUCCUCCAGCUUCUAUUCCAAGCUGCUCUGCAUGACCCUGUCACCAGAAUCACCCUGUCUGUUUACUUGUGCCCCCCUCCCCUCAUUACUUUAGGAUUCCAUUUGCUGGAUGUCACUUUCUGUUUGUGUAUUGCACAGUCAGGAUUUGGUCCAUUUGCAGUUGGUCCAUCUGCAGUAGCAGACCUUAGCAAUAUAGAACCUUUAAAGCCAUGCAAUACUACACCCAGGAUCUCUGAACGAGGUCUCUGGGGAGAGGGGAAUCCCUGCAAUAAAUGGGCAAGUAAAGCCAUCACUAGACAAAUGGCCAACAAGGGUGACUCAUACUCCAACAAAAGCAAGGACCUCAGGUAUAUAAGAAAGCCAAGUACAAAAAGAUCAUCAAACGUGUUCUGUCACUCCUUACGGUGAAGAGUGGAACUGGACGCUACUUUAUCCUGGACACUUGAACCUGAUUUAUGGUGAACAUGCUAGAAGCAAUUAAAGACUGUGGACCUUCUGGCCACCUAGAAACCCUAGGAACCAGGAGGUGGUCUUCCAGUUGUCCAGGAUCUCUUCCUUAUAAAAGGAUAUGAGACAGACCCUAAAGCCACCCACUGAACAGCCGUACAGCCCUGGAGAUGAAACAUCAACUAUUCCUGCACCUGAAGGACUGUGACUCUUGGGUGAAACCAUUAUCCAGGGCUUAACACCCAUGUUCUCAGGAGUGGGGGAAAAAAAAAA